GGGAGACAGGUGCUAAACAACUGUCUAUACAGCUUAUUCUUGUCUUUUAUUGUGUCUCUUUUCUUUUGAAGUCAGAUUGUACAUGUGUUGUGUUUUAUCAAAAAAUCACCAGAAAUGUAAGUCAUGGAUUAUUUAGAUUAUUAUUUAUUUAGAUUAUUUAGUUUCAAAUUUGUCUAACUUUAUUGGCUAAAAUUGUCAUCCUUUUACACAGAUGACACAUUUUGAUUGAUCUAGUUUUGCCACAGUGCAACCAUCCUCUGUAUGUGUGACUGACGCUUGCAUCAUUGUUGUGUUACUGGUGACAUUAUGCACCCUGACAUUGUUAAGUUCUCGUUCUCUCUGUUGAGAAACUUUUGAAAACAGUUCUAUUUAUAAGAGUGAACAGCUGCUGCUCUCAAUCUGAAUAGCACCUCCUCUGUCACCUCUUUCUGGAAUUAGUCAACCAAAUAGUAUCAGUGACUUUUUUUUACUUCUUUACUUUGACCUUGGAUAACAUCACCAUCUGUCACAUCAGCUACAAUCUGUGGAAAUUUGGCACAUACAUAAAAGCUACCUAAGCAGGUAACCACAGUACACAAAGGAGUGUUUUUAUUCAUCUUUAUUUAUUUUAUGACCUCUUUUUUUCUCCAAAAACAUCUCAGCUCAAGCAAGUUUAUCUUUUAUUACCAGAAUGCAAAGAGGAAUCCUUACCUGUAGAGGGCAGAAUAUCUCUGGAUAUCCCAGCAUCACUGCUGAGUAAGUGAGACUGGAGACAAGUCUUCAUGUGUCACAGUUUAUUUUGAGCAUACAGUAUCUUUUUACGUGCAUGUGUGUGUGCAUACAUGUGUGUAGCACUCUACGUGUGCUGGGGUGUCUGUCUGCAGGUUGCAGCUCUGCCUGCUGGGAGUUUCUGGCUGUGCUACUUUGAAGUGCUGCUGCCCUUGUCUGAUAAACAGAUAGAGAAACAGGUGUUCGAGCUGGGUGACUCAUCCACUCUGUGUGCGCUCUUUUCAUUUGUUGCUGUACUGAGUGAUCAACACUUAAAGAAACAUAUUACAAUUACUAAUAAAGUGCAGGUGAAAACAAACGUCUCCAUAUGUGUCUUUGCAUGGUAGUAACUGAACUUUAUCUUGGUUUCUUUUUAGCAUGUCAUUUUGGUUUUGUAUCAAAAGACUCCUACAAAUUUUCCGCCAUGGAGAAGAAGCUGUCAACUCCACAGCUAAAGACAUAAAGGGUGAGUGAGUGACCCGUUGAGAGAAUUAUAACAAAAGUGUCAAUUCUAACUUAAUUAUCACCAACAACGUAACUUUCUGUCUUCUUUUUCAUCCCUCGAUGAUAUCUGCCCCUAACGACCAUGGCUGUAGACUGUUACCAUGGUGCAGUUGCUAGAGUAACAAUCUAAAGCCACGGUCACCAUGGAGACAGCAGGGUGGAGGAGAAGGAGGAGAAGAAGCGGGAGUUGGCAUGGUAACUGGAAACUGCAAGGCCCCAUUGGUUUGAGCGUGGAUGUUACGCACCUAACAGGGUGUAGGACUCCCGCAAUGCAAGCCCACUCAGGUUUCCUCUCUGAACCGGCGGAUCAAGACUGAGGAGGUGAUGCAGGAGGAGAAACGGCAGGGAUACAGUGAACUUAAGUAUCAAACCAGACAUUUUCUGGGCACUGGACAUCAUUCUCAGUGUGUUUCCCUUAGACUGAUAUCCUUCAGCGUGUUCUCUGCAUAUCCUCUUCAGCUGCAGUGUUUGGUAUAUUGCCAUGCUUCAGUAGCCAUGACUGUAGACUGUUACUGUACUGUAACACUGUAUAAGCAGUAAGCAGUCUAAAGCCAAGGUGCUGAUGCUCUGGCCAAGUUAGGAGGAAGGGGGAACCAAGAUAAACCUGUAACAGCAAAAAGGAGGGAGUUUAAGGUGUAUCAUUACAUGAAUCAAACCUGUAACAGUCCCAAAGAGGUGGAUAUUCAUCAUUAUGUUCUUCAUGCAUAGAUAUUCAACAGUUAAGGCUUAAAGUUUAUUUAAAGCACCAUCUCUGCGUUACUGUGUGCAAUAAAUGUCAAACAAAGAUUAUGCUGAUGUGACAGUGUCUUAUCAGCAUCUAUAAUGAUUUUAUACACAACUUUUUUAGCAUUUACUUACUGACUUAUUUACUCCUUUAAGAAAUACAAUAUUACAGGUGCCUUGAGGGGAAGCAACAAGACUAAGACUGAGCAUGUCAAGCUAAAUGUGUUUAUAAAGCAAAAAGGUAUGUUUUUAUAUUAUCAUAUUCACUUGUGUUUCAACAACUGAGAAGUUCAUCUGUAAUGUGUAAAAAGUUUGACUAAACAGACAUGGAAAAGGAAAGAUCAAAAGUUGUGGAAAAAAUGAUUUUAUAUAAUACCAAUAAAUAUUCUUGUCAUGCUAUUCAUGUUUUUAUUGCAAAGUUAACAAUAUUAGAGAGUUUAUUAAGACCUAUUGGCAUGGUAUGUACUGGGCAUCAUCCAUCUACUGUUUCUUCCUGCCUCUGACCUAGUUAGUGGUUGUAUGUGUGCAAGUGUCGAAGUGGAAGUGCG
rnacentral:lncRNA from 1 species